rnacentral:rRNA from 1 species
AGAGAUGUGUGAUGACGCAUAUCAAUAAGCGGAGGAAAAGAAACUAACAAGGAUUCCCUUAGUAACGGCGAGUGAAGCGGGAAGAGCUCAAAUUUGAAAUCUUCAAGGUUCUACCUUGACGAAUUGUAGUUUAUAGAAGUGUUUUCUGUUAGUAGAGUGGCAAAAGUUCUUUGGAAUAGGACAUCAUAGAGGGUGAGAAUCCCGUAUUUGGUCAUUCUUUCUAGCUUUGUGAUACACUUUCAACGAGUCGGAUUGUUUGGGAAUGCAGUCCAAAAUGGGUGGUAAAUUUCAUCUAAAGCUAAAUAUUGGCGAGAGACCGAUAGCGAACAAGUACCGUGAGGGAAAGAUGAAAAGAACUUUGAAAAGAGAGUUAAACAGUACGUGAAAUUGUCAAAAGGGAAGCGUUUGACACCAGUGUUGUUUUUCCGAAAAUCAAUUACGAAUGUUUUAGUUUUUGAGAAGUUAUGACUUCAUCGGCUUGCUUCUCUCUUUAUGAAACUUUCUUAAUGCACUUUUCGGUUAACAAGUCAACAUCAAUUUCUUUUGUUGUAAAAGGGUAUGAGGAAGGUGGCUUUCUUUUCGGAGAAAGUGUUUAUAGCCUUGUGCCUCUGCAAUCGGAGAGAUUGAGGUCUGCAGCGUAGAUCCUUCGGGGUUAGAUACAUUUGUGCUAAGUUAUAGCUUUUCAUAGACAACUUGUUGACUAUGUUAAGUCUUGUAGCUUACUCGCUUAUGCUAUUUUACCUACGCUUAGGAUGUUGAAGUCAUCGUAUCGCGC